AGUGGGAUAGCUGGGUCAAAUGGUAGUUGCAUUCCCAGUUUUCCAAGGAAUCUCCAUAUUGCUUUCCAUAAUGGCUGCACCAAUUUGCAGUCCCACCAGCAAU
rnacentral:pre_miRNA from 1 species